GAUGAAGAACGCAGCGAAAUGCGAUAAGUAAUGUGAAUUGCAGAAUUCAGUGAAUCAUCGAAUCUUUGAACGCACAUUGCGCCCAUUAGUAUUCUAGUGGGCAUGCCUGUUCGAGCGUCAUUUCAACCCUUAAGCCUAGCUUAGUAUUGGGAAUCGACUUUACUGUCGUUCCUCAAAUUCAACGGCGGAUUUAUAGCAAUCUCUGAACGUAGUAAUUUUUUUUCCUCGUUUUUGAAAUACUAUAAACCUCAGCCGCUAAACCCCCAAUUUUUCUAUGGUUGACCUCGGAUCAGGUAGGAAUACCCGCUGAACUUAAGCAUAUCAAUAAGCGGAGGA
rnacentral:misc_RNA from 1 species